rnacentral:rRNA from 1 species
CAGCCGCCGCGGGAAUACAGAGGGUGCGAGCGUUAAUCGGAUUUACUGGGCGUAAAGCGUGCGUAGGCGGCUUCUUAAGUCGGAUGUGAAAUCCCUGAGCUUAACUUAGGAAUUGCAUUCGAUACUGGGAAGCUAGAGUAUGGGAGAGGAUGGUAGAAUUCCAGGUGUAGCGGUGAAAUGCGUAGAGAUCUGGAGGAAUACCGAUGGCGAAGGCAGCCAUCUGGCCUAAUACUGACGCUGAUGUACGAAAGCAUGGGGAGCAAACAGGAUUAGAGACCCCCGUAGUCCCUGUCUCUUAUAC